GACUGGUGUACUGUAAAUGUAACGUAUAAGUUAUAUCAAAACAAUGUCUAACCUCCAUUAAUUGAUCCAUCAUUCAGGGUAGGGGUACUCAAACAAAGUGCAAUGAUUCAUAUCAUACUACAUGGCAAAAACUUGAGAGUUCAAACUAAAAAAAACUAAGCAAACGAUGAAACGAACAGACGUCUUCAAGGUAGAAUAACAAAGAGCUAGACUGAGGUGGUUUAAUCGAAAAGGCUGAAACCCAUAUCCUGCAGGAAGAAGCAAAACCAACACAGAUCAGAAGAUUUGAAGGAACUAAACAACUACAACUUAAUAAACGACUUAAGCAUAAACAACAACAAUGUGGGCAGAACUUUACAUCAUCAGACUCCUCCUUCUCCUCCACUUUCUCUUCCUUCUUUGCCUCGGCAGCUGGUGCAGCAGCACCACCGGCAGCAGGGGCAG
rnacentral:lncRNA from 1 species